AAACGAGGCUACAAGGAACCACAGAAAGCGGCGAUGCUCCGUGUCUCUUAUGGUUUUCUUCACUUUUUCAGGAGUGACAAAAUAACCCCUCUAUAAUAGAAAAUAAGCUCAAGAUUUCUGCAUUUUCGAAUGGAGCUGCUGAAAGAGAUGUUGAAAACUCAGAUUUGUCCAUGCUGAUGGCCAUGCAGGAGAGUUCAAGCAAACCUGUCAGAAAACAUCUCUAAGGGGCUAUGUAUGAACCAUAUGGCUAGUAAGUAAGACCUCAAACUUAAACACUACUGUUCAAAAGGCUGUGAUUUAUUUAUUUGAGAAAAAUACAGUGAAAACAGAAAUGUUGUGAAAUUAUCACAAUGUAGAUUAUCUGUUUUCUUUAUAAAUAUGCAGUUAAGUGUAAUUUCUGUGAUGCAAAACAAAAUAUUUACUCUCACUUCUAACAAACAGAACUGCAACUUACCAUUUUAGGGGAACUCUAAAAUAUUUGUUAACACAACAAACAACUUUGAUAAUAAUUGAAAAUGUUUCUUGAGCAUCAAAUCAGCGUAUUAGAAUGAACUCUGAUAGAUUAUGUGACACUGAAGACUGGAGUAAUGAUGCUGAAAAUUCAACAUUAAUCACAGGAAUAAAUUACAACUUACAAUAUUUUCAUAUAAUAAAAGACAUUAAAAAAAUCUGAACCUAAACCUUUGAAUGGCAUUGUAAAUUAUAGUUAUGAUGGCUUGUUCCUCCAACUUAAUGAUACUAUUGCAUAUGUAGUUUGUUCCAAAGAGACUG